rnacentral:misc_RNA from 1 species
UUCUCAGGAACUCUCAACUUCCCUCAAUUACCCCUCUUCCCAUCAGUCAGGAAAACAAUCAUUAGUCCAAGGCGGAGAACACCAGAGACAAAAGACAAGGAAGGAGGGAUUUUGCUCAGAAUUGGAACAGGUGGGAAAACACAGCAGCUAAAUGUUAACCCUUGUUGAUAAUGUAUUGAGGUCUUAUAGCUCAUCCUCUACAGAUCCCAGAGAUGUUGUUAGCUCAUUUCAGUUAUUGGUCAAAACCAACUUUACUUUUGCAUUUUACGACUAGCAACGUUCUUCAAAGCAAAAAAAUCAUAAAGCAGUAAAAGGUGAGAUACAAAGAAACUCAUAGCACAACUAACAUACCUGGGAUGGGAAUCGAGACUUAAAUGCCUUGGGUUCAAUGCUAAAACUGCCAUUUUCUGCAGCUUUGUAGAUACCAUACAUCAAUUUCAAAUCAACGUCACAUAGAAAGAGUUUCAUCCCUUUAUAAACUUUUUCAACCAUCUCUCUCUUGUUUGCUGGGAGUCCCAUAACCUUGUAUCAAUAGCAUUCCUUCUUUGUCUCAGAAUUGCACAUGAAUAUCAUACCCGUGCUAUCAACCUGCUCAGGAAUAUCUCUGCCUUCACUAGACAAUU